CCUACGGGAGGCAGCAGUGAGGAAUAUUGGUCAAUGGACGGAAGUCUGAACCAGCCAUGCCGCGUGCAGGAAGACGGCUCUAUGAGUUGUAAACUGCUUUUGUACAAGGGUAAACCUGAAUACGUGUAUUCAGCUGAACGUACUGUACGAAUAAGGAUCGGCUAACUCCGUGCCAGCAGCCGCGGUAAUACGGAGGAUCCAAGCGUUAUCCGGAUUUAUUGGGUUUAAAGGGUGCGUAGGCGGAUUGAUAAGUUAGAGGUGAAAUGUCCGAGCUUAACUCGGGAACUGCCUCUAAUACUGUUGGUCUAGAGAGUAGAUGCGGUAGGCGGAAUGUAUGGUGUAGCGGUGAAAUGCUUAGAGAUCAUACAGAACACCGAUUGCGAAGGCAGCUUACCAAUCUAUAUCUGACGUUGAGGCACGAAAGCGUGGGGAGCAAACAGGAUUAGAUACCCGGGUAGUC
rnacentral:rRNA from 1 species